GAGAGGUGUUCUAAGUGAUGAGUC
rnacentral:siRNA from 1 species